UUCUCUUUCUCUUUCUGAUAUGUGGCUGCGCGAAAGAAGUAGCUCUUGGACUAGCUGAUCAAAUAUCCACCUAUAGUGGGAAUUUUUGAAAAGCCGUUUGUCUUGCUUUACCAGAUUUUACAGAAGGGACAUAAGAAGGUAACUGAGCAUAGAAACAAGCAUAUGAAGAGUAAAAAUUUAGUUAGCUGGAUAGCAAGAUGGAAAAUAUAGCACAACUCUUUCCAAAACUUCGACUUGCUCUAGAGAAUUUAAAGAAGUUAAAGCUCAAACAAAUCGUUUGAACAUUUAAUUACUGGAAACGAUACUCUUGCAGUUUUGUCUGCUGGAUAUGGGAAAUCCAUAUUGUACCAAUUACUUCCUUUUGUAAUGUCUUUAUGAAAGAAAAGAAACAUGGUUAUUGUUGCCAGCCCUCUCAACGCUAUCAUUAACAAUCAACAAAAGGUGUACACCUACUCAUGAAAGGAAGAAACUUACCAAAAUCAAAAAUCUAUCAGGAUAACGUUGUUUCGUGUGUACUAGACGAGGCACAUUUUGUGGAAUUGUGGUAAGAAAAUUAUAUAUAUAUAUAGCUAGCUUCAAAAUGUACAACAUAAAGCUAUUUAACAAUCUUUAACAAUA